rnacentral:rRNA from 1 species
CUCGUAGGUGGCCAACUAAGUCAGACGUGAAAUCCCUCGGCUUAACCGGGGAACUGCGUCUGAUACUGGAUGGCUCUGAGUUUGGGAGAGGGAUGCGGAAUUCCAGGUGUAGCGGUGAAAUGCGUAGAUAUCUGGAGGAACACCGGUGGCGAAGGCGGCAUCCUGGACCAACACUGACGCUGAGGAGCGAAAGCCAGGGAGCAAACG